rnacentral:rRNA from 1 species
AGCAGUAGCCGCGGUAAUACGAAGGGUGCAAGCGUUACUCGGAAUUACUGGGCGUAAAGCGUGCGUAGGUGGUUGUUUAAGUCUGUUGUGAAAGCCCUGGGCUCAACCUGGGAAUUGCAGUGGAUACUGGGCAACUAGAGUGUGGUAGAGGGUAGUGGAAUUCCCGGUGUAGCAGUGAAAUGCGUAGAGAUCGGGAGGAACAUCCAUGGCGAAGGCAGCUACCUGGACCAACACUGACACUGAGGCACGAAAGCGUGGGGAGCAAACAGGAUUAGAUACCCCCGUAGUCCCUGUCUCUUAUAC